AGUGAACGCUGGCGGCGUGCCUAACACAUGCAAGUCGAGCGAGCGGCGGACGGGUGAGUAAUGUCUGGGAAACUGCCUGAUGGAGGGGGAUAACUACUGGAAACGGUAGCUAAUACCGCAUACCAUCAGAUGUGCCCAGAUGGGUUUAGCUAGUUGGUGGGGUAACGGCUCACCUGGGCGACGAGCCCUAGCUGGUCUGAGAGGAUGACCAGCAACACUGGAACUGGGACACGGUCCAGACUCCUACGGGAGGCAGAAGAGGGGAAUAUGGCAAAAUGGGGGAAAGCCUGAUGCAGCCAGGCCGCGUGGGUGAGGAAGGCCUUCGGGUUGUAAAGCACGUUCAGCGGGGAGGCGUUACCCGCAGAAGAAGCACCGGCUAACUCCGUGCCAGCCGCCGCGGUAAUAC
rnacentral:rRNA from 1 species